rnacentral:rRNA from 1 species
AUUGAACGCUGGCGGCAGGCCUAACACAUGCAAGUCGAGCGGAUGAAGAGAGCUUGCUCUCUGAUUCAGCGGCGGACGGGUGAGUAAUGCCUAGGAAUCUGCCUGGUAGUGGGGGACAACGUUUCGAAAGGAACGCUAAUACCGCAUACGUCCUACGGGAGAAAGCAGGGGACCUUCGGGCCUUGCGCUAUCGGAUGAGCCUAGGUCGGAUUAGCUAGUAGGUGAGGUAAUGGCUCACCUAGGCGACGAUCCGUAACUGGUCUGAGAGGAUGAUCAGUCACACUGGAACUGAGACACGGUCCAGAAUCCUACGGGAGGCAGCAGUGGGGAAUAUUGGACAAUGGGCGAAAGCCUGAUCCAGCCAUGCCGCGUGUGUGAAGAAGGUCUUCGGAUUGUAAAGCACUUUAAGUUGGGAGGAAGGGCAGUAAGUUAAUACCUUGCUGUUUUGACGUUACCAACAGAAUAAGCACCGGCUAACUUCGUGCCAGCCGCCGCGGUAACAC